UACUGUUCAUGAUGAUAUUGUGGAUAACAAUGGGAAUCUCUCUGAAAGGCAGUGAAGAGAAAUUUACACUGAAACGGUA
rnacentral:snoRNA from 1 species